GACGGAAGGUGCAAGCGUUGCUCGGAAUCACUGGGCGUAAAGGGUGCGUAGGCGGCCGCGCAAGUCUGGCGUGAAAGCCCCGGGCUCAGCCCGGGAAGGGCGCUCGAAACGGCGCGGCUCGAGUGCCGGAGGGGAGAGUGGAAUUCCUGGUGUAGCGGUGAAAUGCGCAGAUAUCAGGAAGAACACCCGUGGCUAAGGCGGUUCUCUAGUACGGUGCUGACGCUGAGACGCGAAAGCGUGGGGAGCGAACAGG
rnacentral:rRNA from 1 species